GAGUGUUUCGUGAAAAAUCUUCAGUGAAAUAAUGAUAAUUAGGAAUAAUCCUAAUAUAAACCAGCAUUUAAAUUAUCUUUUAACGGUCGGGUCGAUAAGCAUUGUAAGAAAAUUUCGCGAUUUAAUGAGUUUGUCUUUCCGAGAGGUAUUUGCAAUAUAAUUUGGAAGAUGAACGCUGCUGAUGAAAACUGCUGCAGCAGAGAUUGCCUAUUUGAACAAUCGAGUAGCCGAACGGUAUGCUGUGUACCAGGAUGUAAACAGCGUUAUGGACGGGGAAUCUCCUUUCAUUCAAUGCCUCAGAAAAAGUUAGAUCGGUCACGUUGGAAUUUAUGGAUGCAAAAACUACGAGUGAAAUAUGAACCAUCACCCAGUGCUAAAGUUUGCAGUUCUCACUUUAGUAUCGAAAAUUUCAUACAUCCUGAUAUCAACCGCCGUACUGAAAGGAUGAUCCUGAAACCGUCCGCUGUGCCAGACAUUAAUCUACCGUUACCGCCGCAAAAC